rnacentral:lncRNA from 1 species
CGAGACAAUUGCAGAGAAAAGAUCCAAGUGCUUUCUUUCAUUUCCUGUGACUGAUUUUACUGCUCCUGGCUACUCCAUGAUCAUUAAACACCCAAUGGAUUUUAAAUGAAAGAAAAGAUCAAGAACAAUGACUACCAGUCCAUAGAAAAACUAAAGGAUAUUUUCAAACUAAUGUGUACUAAUGCCAUGAUUUACAAUAAACCAGAGACCAUUUAUUAUAAAGCUGCAAAGAAGCGGUUGCACUCGGGGAUGAAAAUUCUUAGACAUGAAAGAAUUCAGAGCCUGAAGCAGAGCAUAGACUUCAUGGCUGACUUGCAGAAAACUCAAAAGCAGGAAGACAGAACAGACACCUCGCAGAGUGGGGAGGACAGAGGCUGCUGGCCGAGAAGAGAGAGGACUCUGGAGAUGCCAAAGCACACGCCUUCAAGAGUCCCAGCAAAGAAAAUAAAAAGAAAGACAAAGACAUGCUUGAAGAUAAGUUUAAAAGCAAUAAUUUAGAGAGAGCGCAGGAGCAGCUUGACCGCAUCGUGAAGGAAUCUGGAGGAAAGCUGACCAGGCGGCUUGUGAACAGUCAGUGCAAAUUGGAAAGAAGAAAACCAGACGGAACAACAAUGUUGGGACUUCUCCAUCCUGUGGAUCUCAUUGUAGGAGAGCCAGGCUACUGCCCUGUGAGACUGGGAAUGACAACUGGAAGACUUCAGUCUGGUGUGAAUACUUUGCAGGGGUUCAAAGAGGACAAAAGAACAAAGUCACUCCAGUGUUAUAUUUGAAUUAUGGGCCCUACAGUUCUUAUGCACCGCAUUAUGACUCCACAUAUGCAAAUAUCAACAAGAAUGAUUCUGAUUUAAUCUAUUCAACCUAUGGGGAAGACACAGAUCUUCCAAGCGAUCUCAGCAGCCAUGAGUUUUUGGCCACGUGCCAAGAUUAUCCAUCUGUGAUGGCAGAUAGUUUACUGGAUGUUUUAACAAAAGGAGGGCAUUCCAGGACCCUACAAGAGAUUUAGAUGUCACUGCCUGAAGAUGGAAGGCCAUACUAGGACACCUGACACAGCAAAAGAAAUGGAGAUUACAGAAGUAGAGCCACCAGGAUGUCUGGACUCCAAUACUUCAAGACAGGCUCAUAGCGCUGAAAGCAGUAACAAACUUUGGCGUUCCGGUUAAAGUUUUUGAUUCUGAGGAAGCUGAAAUAUUCCAGAAGAAACUUGAUGAGACCACCAGAUUGCUCAGGGAGCUAGCUCCAGGAAGCCCAGAAUGAAUGUUUCAACACCAGACCCCCUCCCAACAUGAUCUGUCUCUUGGGUCCCUCAUACAGAGAAAUGCAUCUCACUGAACAAGUGACCAAUAAUCUUAAAGAACUUGCACAGCAAGUAACUACAGGUGAUAUCAUAAGCACAUACGGAGUUUGAAAAGCAAUGGGGAUUUCCAUUCCUUCCCCCGUCAUGGAAAACAACUCUGUGGAUUUGACAGAAGAUACUGAAGAACCUAAAAAGACGAAUGUUGCUGAAUGUGGACCUGGUGGAAGU